rnacentral:rRNA from 1 species
ACGGGGGAAAGGCCGGGAUCUAUUUAUAGACCGGUCACUAUUGGAGGAGCCUGCGUUAGAUUAGCUAGUUGGUAGGGUAAAGGCCUACCAAGGCGACGAUCUAUAGCUGUUCUGAGAGGAAGAUCAGCCACACUGGAACUGAGACACGGUCCAGACUCCUACGGGAGGCAGCAGUAGGGAAUAUUGUGCAAUGGGGGAAACCCUGACACAGCCAUGCCGCGUGUGUGAAGAAGGCUCUAGGGUUUAAAGCACUUUCAGUAGGGAGGAUAAGCUAGGGUUAAUAGCCUUAGUCUAAGACGUUACCUACAGAAGAAGAUCCGGCUAACUCCGUGCCAGCAGCCGCGGUAAUACGGAGGGAUCAAACGUUAAUCGGAAUUACUGGGCGUAAAGCGUGCGAAGGUGGUUUAUUAAGUGGGAUGUGAAAGCCCCGGGCUUAACCUGGGAACUGCAUUCCAAACUGGAAAACUAGAGUACGAUAGAGGGGGGUAGAAUUCAGAGUGUAGCGGUGAAAUGCGUAGAUAUUCUGAGGAAUACCGGUGGCGAAGGCGGCCCCCUGGAUUGAUACUGACACUGAGGUACGAAAGCGUGGGGAGCAAACAGGAUUAGAUACCCUGGUAGUCCACGCCGUAAACGAUGUCUACUAGCCGUUGGGAGGCUUGACUCUUAGUGGCGAAGCUAACGCGAUAAGUAGACCGUCUGGGGAGUACG